UGUGUUCUCACUAACUUUGAUACCUUUUGUAAUAACUUGGCCCAACAUUCUCGUUGAUACACCGCCUAGUAUAUAGCUUUGAUUCCAUUUGUAACAACCUAAGUCCACUGCUAGUAGAUAUUGUCGGCUUUGGUCCGUUGCGUAUCUUCAUCCGCCUUACGAUUUUAAAAAGCGUCUACUAAGGAGAGGUUUUUUCACUCUUAUAAGAAAUGUUUUGUUCUCAUCUCGAACCAACAUGGGAUCUCACAAUAUUGGUUUUCUUCUCCUCGCUACAUAGUCUUUGAUCAAGAAAUGUAUUAGUACUGAGGAAAUAAUCUUGUUUCGUUCUUGGUUUGAUUUGAUCUUUUAGACUUUAUUUUGACUCUUCAUGUAUAUGUAUCCUAUAGGUAUCGGGCCAACUUCUAAUCUCACGAGCCAACCGACCAUACGAGUUUUUUUUGUUUUUUUUAGAUCAAACUUUUUAGGUUCUAUGGAUUCUCAACAAAAGGGGAUGCCAUUCUUAUGUGGUUGCUCAAUACUUGGAUAACACUCAAAAGUUAGGUAUCUCUUUUUCCACUUUCCAUUUUAACCAUCUUUACAUUUAAAUGAAUAUUAUUCUGAUCCAUUUCCUUAGUCUUUUGCUAAAGCGAUGUAUCCGUGGGGAAGGAGCGGUGCAGCUCGACCAAUAAGGGAGUCGAGGAGAAGGAGCGGUGCAGCUCGACCGAGAAGGAGCUGAGGGAAAAGAGCAGUGCAGCUCGACUGAUAAGGAGCCAAGGGGAAGGAGCGAUACAACAACUCAAUUGAUAAGGAGACGAGGGGAAGGAGCGAUGCAGCUCAACCGAUAAGGAGCUGAGGGGAAGGAGUGAUACAACUCAACCGAUAAGGAGCCGAGGGGAAGGAGCGAUGCAGCUCGACCGAUAAGGAGAGGGACAGUCACCUUUUUUAUUGGCUCGACCGAUAAGGAGCCAAGGGGAAGGAGUGGUACAGCUCGACCGAUAAGGAGCCAAGGGGAAGGAGUGGUACAGCUCGACCGAUAAGGAGCCAAGGGGAAGGAGUGGUAAAGCUCGACCGAUAAGGAGCCGAGGGAAAAGAGCAGUGCAUCUCGAUCAAUAAGGAGCUGAGGGGAAAGAGCAAUGCAGCUCGACUGAUAAGGACCUGAGGAGAAGGAGCAAUGCAACUCGACUGAUAAGGAGUCGAGGGGAAGGAGCGGUGCAGCUCGUCGAUAAGGAGCCGAGGGGAAGGAGCGGUGCAGCUCGACAAAUAAGGAGCCGAGGGGAAGGAACUGUAUAGCUCGACCGAUAAGGAGCCGAGGGGAAGGAGCAGUGCAGCUCGACCGGUAAGGAGCCGAGGGGAAGGAGCGAUAUAACUCAACCGAUAAGGAGCCGAGGGAAGGAGCGAUAUAACUCAACCGAUAAGGAGCCGAGGGGAAGGAGCGAUAUAACUCAACCGAUAAGGAGCCGAGGGGAAGGAGCGAUGCAGCUCGACCGAUAAGGAGAGGGGCGCUCACCUUUUUUAUUGGUGGGGAGCUGUAUUUGUUUGGGGGAGGCCAAGAGAAAGAAUGACAAGGACAACUGUGUAUCAAUCAUAUGUUUUUUUUUUUCGUCAAUCUAUUGGAUUACUUAGCGUUUUUCGUUUUUUUCCUAUGAAUCACACCAAAUGAGUUUGAAACAGUC